AGUGGAUGCUUGCAGUUUCACAUGGUGUCUCCUUUCUGUGGUGACAACUGUGCAGAACCAUCCCAGAGUAACACUGAAGCUAUCUGUUCAUCCCUGGAUAGUUAACAGGGUUGGAUCGUUCCACUUCUGACAUA
rnacentral:snoRNA from 1 species